AUGCGGAUCUCGAAAGCCUGUCCCAGUUCGGACUGGAGUCUGCAACCCGACUCCACGAAGUUGGAUUCGCUAGUAAUCGCGCAUCAGCCAUGGCGCGGUGAAUACGUUCCCGGGCCUUGUACACACCGCCCGUCAAGCCAUGGGAGCCGGGGGCGCCUGAAGUCCGGGACCGCGAGGACCGGCCUAGGGCGAAACUGGUAACUGGGGCUAAGUCGUAACAAGGUAAC
rnacentral:rRNA from 1 species